ACAGGGAUAAUGGAGUGAUGGAGGUAGAUAUGUAUAGGGGGAAGGGGACAUGGAUACUGGAGUGAUGGAGGUAGAUAUGUAUAGGGGGAAGGAGACAGGGAUACUGGAGUGAUGGAGGUAGAUAUGUAUAGGGGGAAGGAGACAGGGAUACUGGAGUGAUGGAGGUAGAUAUGUAUAGGGGACAGGGAUACUGUAGUGAUGGAGGUAGAUAUGUAUAGGGGGAAGGGGACAGGGAUACUGGAGUGAUGGAGGUAGAUAUGUAUAGGGGGAAGGGGACAGGGAUACUGGAGUGAUGGAGGUAGAUAUGUAUAGGGGGAAGGGGACAGGGAUACUGGAGUGAUGGAGGUAGAUAUGUAUAGGGGGAAGGAGACAGGGAUACUGGAGUGAUGGAGGUAGAUAUGAAUAGGGGGAAGGAGACAAGGAUACUGGAGUGAUGGAGGUAGAUAUGUAUAGG
rnacentral:lncRNA from 1 species